UGAAUCAAAUCAACACGAAAUCUGUCAGCGAGAGUGUUUAAAUCAGUUGCAGUAACGGCGCGCCGCCUGAGAGCAACAACGUCAUUGGAUUUAUCUUCGACAGGUGCGAGUUGAGUUACGUUAGAGAGAGUCUCGGGUAUAUCGUGAUUGGCAUUAGCGUGAAUAGAGGCACCUGUACUAGCUGCUUAUAUCUACAGGCUCCAAUGACCAUCACUUCCGCGGCCCUCAGAACAAGGAGAGGCAGCGACUUACAUGUAGAUGACAGGAUUAUAGUACACAGACCCGAGGCAUCUACCUCUGUCGUCAAGCCAUCGGAGGCCGUACGUACUACUCUGUCAUCAAGCACUGCUGGAAUCAAAUUAUAAUUAGUUUGCUAUUCUGAAGCUUCAAAUCAUCAGCGAUCUCAUAUUGUCUCGUUUUUUCCUUGACUAGCGCGUGGUAAUAUUUGAUUUUCCUUUCAACCUGCUGCUGUUCAUCGCUGAAUCUGUCGCGAAUCUUCCUCGAGUUGUACUUUUUUUUUAUGAAGGUGUGCCUUACUACAGUAGCUGUAUCUUAUGUAUAUAGCUGACCAGGCGUGUGUACCACAGUUUACGAACAGCCUGAUAUGGGUUGCAGUUCCUCUCACAUCCCCCACCAGAAAAUGAUCAACUAUCGGGAGGAUAGCGAAAAUGAAACUUCUACAACCUGGGAUUGUCGCGGAGAACCGGAUGGGGAAGUUUGCAGCAAUGCAAGUAAAGACGAUCAGAAGAAGUCCGACCUCUCGAAAUGCCCGGCUCACUUGUUUGUUGUGUCGAAAACGAAGCAGAAGAUCGAGGUAAAGCCCGCCAAAACAGAAGACGUCCUCAAGCUGCAGAAAUGAUGGACACACUGGACCGCGGGGUAGAUGGUGGGCAUUUUGAAAAGGGCGUAAUAAUUGCACAAAGACUUUUGGGAACUUUUUCUCGAUGGGUUGAAUGCACGUGGCCCUUUUAACUCCUAGAAAAGGCGAAAUCACGAUCUGUCAAAAUAAUACAUUUAAAAUUUUCGGUUUUGUCCGAUAGGUUUUUUGUGAACCAUCCACUCUCCUGAAUCAAGUUGAUUCGUGGUUUGAACGUUGAAUGUUCUUUGCUCGGAUGUUUUCGGGUUUUACAUAUUUCGGGCAUCCUUUAACAACUCAAGAUUAGGAUAUUACUGGAAAUGAUAACAUGGAAAUAGUUAUUUUAAAAAUAAUUACACGAUAGUAUUUCAAUAGCAAAUAUUUCGCUAUUUAAUGUUUAAAAACGGAUUCGGAUUGUGAACUUUCCGAAUUUUGGAUUCGAAGCGGAUUCGAACCCUCCAAAGGGAAAAUACUGCUGGAAACGUCCCAAUAAUGAAACGCUGGUUGAUAAAAUACUCCCACUGAAUAAAGGGCUCCGCUCAAAAAGAAGCAGAAAAUUAGUACGGAUCAUAUUAUCAGAGUACUGUUUUCAGCAUAGUCCAAGAAGGUCUAACAAUACAAGAGUGGGGACAUGAAAGACAGACGAACAUUGCUAUUACUAAAUCAAAUGCAGCUCAUUCGGGGAAAUAUCUUUGGUAAAAUCUUUUGUGGUAAAACAAAAUAUAUAUGACUGUUUGUUAUCUAGACAUUUUUCUGUACAGAUAAACUUCUACCACAACAAAAUAUACACGUGAGUGAUUCGAUAUACUGGUAUAUCAGUUACUGUUGUUUUUAUGUACGUUGAACAUUAUGUGAAAACUUUGAAGAUUUACACAUUUUAUGAUCUGUAAAAUGAACGAAAAAACAAGUUUACGCCAUCCUUUUGAGACCGUUAUCAGAUGUCAAGGUAGUAAGUGCGUUCCUUGUAUUAUCCGGGUAACCGUUGGAAUGCAGUACCGGUCUUCUCUUUCUUCACCUUGUCAUUGAUUUCCAGGCUUUGAGUGGCGGAAGCUUUGUUUGAGCCAUUGUCUGGGAGUGGACACUACAUCCUUUGUUUGAAGCGUUUAUUGAAUGCUCUAGGAACAAGACAGUUAUUGAAUACAGAUAAUUCUCCCUGAAUCUGGGAUUCAUUUCAAAGGACUAUAUAUAGUAUCAAUGCAGAACUGAGUGUUCAUUAUAGAACAAUCGUUUUAUUGUAUAUACCAAGCGUCGUAUCUGUUGAUCAUUAAUAUUUAAUCUGUUUGUACAUAUAUAGUAAUUAUAUAUGUAUAUUUUUAUUAUGUAUAAAAUGAUGUCCAUGAGCAGCAAGA